GACGGAGGGUGCUAGCGUUGUUCGGAAUCACUGGGCGUAAAGGGCGCGUAGGCGGCUUCAGGUGUCGGAUGUGAAAGCCCGGGGCUCAACUCCGGAGGUGCAUCCGAAACUCUGGGGCUGGAGGCCGGAAGAGGAGGGUGGAAUACCCAGUGUAGAGGUGAAAUUCGUAGAUAUUGGGUGGAACACCGGUGGCGAAAGCGGCUCUCUGGUCCGGUCCUGACGCUGAGGCGCGAAAGCGUGGGGAGCAAACAGG
rnacentral:rRNA from 1 species